GUACCGGUGAAGAGUCCCAAACUAGCUGGACGAAACAGCUGUCCAGUAC
rnacentral:hammerhead_ribozyme from 1 species